rnacentral:rRNA from 1 species
CAGCCGCCGCGGUAAUACGUAGGUGGCAAGCGUUGUCCGGAAUUAUUGGGCGUAAAGGGCUCGCAGGCGGUUUCUUAAGUCUGAUGUGAAAGCCCCCGGCUCAACCGGGGAGGGUCAUUGGAAACUGGGAAACUUGAGUGCAGAAGAGGAGAGUGGAAUUCCACGUGUAGCGGUGAAAUGCGUAGAGAUGUGGAGGAACACCAGUGGCGAAGGCGACUCUCUGGUCUGUAACUGACGCUGAGGAGCGAAAGCGUGAGGAGCGAACAGGAUUAGAUACCCGCGUAGUCCCUGUCUCUUAUAC